AAAAUGGCCAUUAAAUGCAAGCCAGGUUCCUUUUCACCUAAUCUUUCGCUAAGCUUAUAUUUUUCGUCGAAACAACGAUUCUGACAUAAUUGUAGUUUUUGCGGAAGUGCUGUCUGCUGUGGAAGACUUCAAUUAGUUGGCACCGAAUAAUAAUUGAGAGAAAUAUAAAAAAGCAUUGUUUUUCUGAGCUCUUUGGCUGGUUCAAGCACAGUAUUUAAAUAGCCUGUUCUUAAGUAGAAAAGCAGGAUGUGCACGAUCCUUUUGAAGGGCUGAUCAUUUCGCGUAGACUACUGAAAGAGGAACAGUCCAGCGAGAACGAGAAAUUUCACCUAGGAUAAAAUGAUCCUGAGAAGAAGUCGUACCCUCCCUGGUAGAUCACACACUGUAGCGGGAUCAGACAUCAGGUCGCCUACGAACUGUCAAAUAUCCCUCGUGAAACGAAAAGAGGAAGUAUAAGGCAAGUGUCAUCAAGUCGAGUUUAUAUGUACUAUGAUUAUUACGACUUUCACAUUCGAAUCUCCGCUUCAACGAAUAGAACCCGUGAACUUCACAGGCCGAAAGAUACAAAAGAUCUCUAGCCAUCACGAACCUGGAGGCUAUGAGGAGAGAACCCUCUAUUGAAAAUUAUUUGCAGGAAUAAUCAAUUUUUCAUCGACAUAUUGUUCAAUAGGUAUUCGGUGGCUUUCUAUCUGAGGAAAUUAAGUCAAUACUAGCGGGCCACAUAUAGGCUUACUUGCUUACCAAACUAGUGAAUUCAUGUUACCUAAACAUAUGCGCGUAAACGUUAAUUUUCAACUAACCUGACGGCCAA
rnacentral:lncRNA from 1 species